rnacentral:rRNA from 1 species
GAUGAACGCUGGCGGCGUGCCUAAUACAUGCAAGUCGAACGGACAGACGCGGAGCUUGCUCCUUUCACGUUUGCGGCGGGCGGGUGAGUAACGCGUGGAUAACCUACUUAUAAGACUGGGAUAACUUCGGGAAAGCGGCGAUAAUACCAGAUAAUAUAUUGCACCGCGUGGUGCAAUAGAGAAAGACGGCUUUGGUGUCAGUAAUAGAUGGAUACGGGCUGGCUUGGCUGGUUGGGAAGGUAACGGCCUACCAAGGCAACGAUGCGUGGCCGACCUGAGAGGUUGAUCGGCCACACUGGAACUGAGACACGGUCCAGACUCCUACGGGAGGCAGCAGUAGGGAAUCUUACGCAAUGGGCGAAAGCCUGACACAGCAAGGCCGCGUGAGUGGAGAAGGUCUUCGGAUCGGAAAACUCUGUUAUUGGGGAAGAACAAAUGUCUAAGUAAACAUGGCUGUCUUGACGGUACCUAAUAAGAAAGCCACGGCUAACUACGUG